AGGGGGGCGGCUGAGGGGAGCGUGGAGGCGCUGAGGGGAGUGUGGAGGCGCUGAGGGAGGGCGCAGUCUCCUCACUGCCCUUAAAUACGUAUUUUAUGCGCAAACCCCAAAGGUGUCGUCUCUCAGCGUGCGGACGGAGAGACCGGAUCGCCAAGCGAAGAGGCUGCCCGGCGCCCUGGCUCGCCCGAAGGUUGCCCAAGGCGGCGGAGCCCCGCGGUGCACCGGUGACCUUGAAACGCCGCCUGCGCCCACAAAAUGGAAGAAAAGGGGUUCUCGGCUCUUGCCUGGGGUCAGCCAGGGCCUCGGACCUUUAUUUACUGGAAGGCUGGAAGGCCUGGGGCGCUGGGGAGAGGCGUUGCCUGGCCUCUCCCGAAGACCUGUCAGGACAAGUAUAAAGUAUAAGCUGACACAAUCACCACAUCAGAAAUAGAAUUCCCACAAAAAUUUAUAAAAUACAUUUUGAGAAGACCUUGUUGUUGUUUCAGCCCUUCUGAGACCGUACAGCCUUCUUCAGAAUGUUGUCACCAGAAUUUUAGGACUCUCUUUUGACUUCCUAACACCAGUGGUUUGUUGCCCGUCUCUGAAACUGAAAGGAAGAGACUGAGAAGCUACAGAACAUUUUACAGAAUGACACCAGACACUCCCCACUCCCAAAUAGCACUGCUAAAAUAAUCACGUUACACAACUAAUACAGACUUUAGAAAAAAAAGCCGGUGCCUUGUAAAGCAUGCCUUUCUGGAUGGAACAAGCUAUGCGGCAAACAGCACUUGGAACUUGAAUUGCGUGGAUUCAGAGGACGUCUGAACUGCUGCCUGGUCUACUGGCUUCCGACUUACCCAUCUCAGGAUUCGGCGACAGCGCAAUGAAUUUCCUACCUGUGCUUAGUUGCUACAUCGCUACUUGUUAAACUCUCCUGGUACCAGGAUGUCUCCGGGAAACUAGCUGGAGCACCAGAGGGACCAGCUGAAUGAAGAGGACAACACUUCCUCCUAAGAACAAGGUGCCAGCUAUUGAAUACCGCCGAGGCAGGGAUCGGAGGAGAAGCCAGGCAAUCACGGUUGGAAGUGAGGCUGGUUUUUUUGAGCAAGGAAAAUUACUCUGCCUUUUAAGGAGGAGCUGGCUAGGCAGAAGGAACAGCCACUAGAGGGGGAAAGGAGCCCAGGAAUAAGCCAGUCCCGUUCCCACGGCCGCUCGGCACCCGCGCUCCUGAUGCGAUGCACUUUUAGGUGCCCUUUGGUGCAUUUACUGGUUUGCGAAGCCUGAAGGAUCCCUUUGGUGCUUCCACGCAGCACGGGCACGCGUGCAUCCUAACACCGGACGCAGGACCAGUGCUCUCGUGGAAGAGCUGCUGUUAAAUUGCAAGCUGUUAAUAGCGUGCGAUGGAAAUAAAUGCAUCUUCUCCUUGGAUCUUUCCAACUGCCUGAGUGAUGGAGCAAUCUGAGUGACCCUUGGUCUGAAAAUCACAACCGACCACAGCCGAAGAGGAGAAUUUUACUGUAAAGAACAAACAAUGCAAAGCAACCAGAGGCAAGUGAGGGUGCACUCGCAUUCCCACCAGGCCAUUAAGGCAGAGCUGGAUGAAUGCAAUGGAAAGAUGAAAAGAAAACAUGGACUCAGCAACCAAGAGGAGUGUGGAGCAGCUCACAGGAGCAGGGCACAGAGCAGCCAACCUUCAGCUUAGCCAGACAGAGUUACCGUGUUCCUCAAGUCCCAGGGACUGCCUUAAAGGAAUGAACAUUUUACUCUAUCCACUCUGAAACUGGACAAGAACUUAAAAUUCAGCCUAAGAAAGAAAAUAAACAGGUGGAGAAGCAAAACAUCUGAUUUGCCUGCUAGGGCUGUCCUUGCUUCAUUGACCCUCAUCUGCUUUGAGGACCUCUCACUGAUGGAGAAUCUGAUACCGUCAAGAUGAAACCACUCCUUACAAGACUACAUCUCUUGUUUCCCCACCUGGAAAAAGCUGCUGCAUCUGGGAGCUAAAGCAACAUCUGCUUUCAGGUGAGCCUGCUGGGUGAACACACCUCCGGGAUGCUGAUUUUCCUAUUAGCGAGUGUUUCCUAACCACACAAUUUGGGGGCUCUGAAUCAUUCUGAUAAUGCCAAAGGGAAUAAGGUUACAAGCGAAUUGAAAGACAAAAAUCAUGGAGUUGUCCUAAUUCAGAAAGUUCCUCCUCCUAGGGUAGGGUGUUACUAACCAAGUAGAGAAUUUUUAAGACAUGAAGUGUAAAUUGCCCUGGACCUCACUCCAGCAGGCUGUAUGGGAAUAUAUUCAAUGUCUAAUAUUAAACAUCCCUCGCCUAUCCCAUGUUAAAUGUGUGUAACAUAACACAAAACUUGCACAGCGUUUCAGGGAGACUUUAGUACCAAUCAGCAGUUGAAUCCACAUGAAAAAAAUGGCUUAAAGAAAAAAGGAAGCAAAAAAAGUUAAAAUGAAGUACAGUACAGCUCAUCCAGGAAUAGUAUAGGGGCAAACAAAAAAGUGAUUAAUACUGUUCAAAGUUAGGAAUUAAAUACAAAAUUCUCACGCUGCACUGGAAAGCUGGGAAAAAGUGGAUUCAAGCACAUGGCCAGAGAGGUUGAGCAGACAGUUGGCUUGACUUAAAACUGGCAAAAAGAAAAAAACAAGAAAACCCCUUCAAAGCAAGGUCUGCUCACAUGACAAAUACAAUGCCAAAAAAUGAAGAGGAGGGAAAAAUAAAAAAAAAAAACCCACCCCACAGCAAGUGGAAGUUAUAACCCUCUGGUUAUAGAGCAAUUCAAACUGGAGACAUCAGCUGCAGAUGGGACUUUCUGCAGCCGAGCACCGUGCGGCACGGUCACACUCACCACCACAGAGGAACGCAGAACACCCCCGGGACAGUGAGAGCCAGUAGCAGCAUCCGCCAGUCUCUGAUGAAGUAAGCAAAUAGUGGCAGCAACAUGUAGCCAAUUGCAAAAAAUAUGCAAACUCCUAAUGUAGAGAAUAUAAUACGAACUGAUUUGCCAAGAAUUUCUGUUCCUGUUCAAAACAAGGGAGUUUGGAUUAGCAUUUUAACUCUUUCUUUUUAAUCAUGACUAAAUAGCUUACAGCAUUUACAAAAAUAUGCUAAAACAAUCUUAGAAAAGAGCAGUUUCUCUUAUAAUACUUAAAGGGACACUGUCAAGGAGUUACUGUUCAAAUUAGAGGCAAAUUAUAGUCCAAAAUACACUCAAGGAGUAGCAGAUCAUCUUUAAGGUGAUACUAAUCUGGUGGGAGAUCCCUCCAGAUUUUUGUUGUACACCUUCCUUCAAGCAGCCGUGCUAUUAAAUCAAUUAGAAGACCAGCCACUAUCUGGUCUUCUCCAGUGACCCCAAAAGUCCUGCAGGGUCUGUUACGAAACUGUUUGCAACACUAAACAUAGUUCUGAUUGAUAGCAACAUCUACUCAGUUUCUACAUUAUUGCCAUCAACAUUUGCUCACAAGAUCUAACACAGGAUUAGGAGACUCGUGGUUAACUGAAUUCUCCUCUGUUGCAAAGGUUGACAAAUUGAAAAAUGAAAUAGUUGACAGUGUCCUUUUAAUGAAAUCUUGUUUGUUCACGUCUCCCAGGAGUUUAAGUUUGGAACAGAAAAUAAAAGCUACCAUGCGGAAAUGUGUAAAGAAAUAUGAACUCUUCUGUGGUUUGCUCCAUGUAUCUGGAGAUUAAAGAACUGGCCCAUGGAGCCGUGUCCCAUUUCCAGCAGCGGCCAAUGUCAGAUGCCUCUGCAAAGGCGUAAAGCCUCUGUGAUACACAGCCUCAUUCCCUACAGCAGCAUCGCGGGGACGGGGACCAAACCUACUUUGCUAGUGGGGAAGACUGAGCAGGGGAUAUUUAAAUUAUCUUCAUUAGCCUGAUUUCCAAAUUACUGAGUUCUAGGAUUGUACAUUAAUCCCAGCCAAACUCUUGGCUGAACUAAUACAGUUAUAUUGUCUCUCUCUAUUGCUUGUUGUUGGGCAGAUUAAACACAUGCCUGGGACCAAAUCUUCUAGUGCCUAUAUUUGAAAAAUCUUGGCCCUUAGCUUUUUUAAAGUUUGUUUUCAAGAUAUCUCGGUGUGACUAUUUUCAGGUUUUUAAUUGGCCUUGUAUGGCAUCCUUUAUGCGUCUGCCUAGCUCAUGCCUGCUACGCUGCUUCCCAACCCUUCUGCAUCCUGAGCCAUUAAAAGGAAGCAAACCACACUGAAUGCAUGUUCAUGAAGAGAAUAUGCCUCUUUCCAGAAAAACAUAUAUAAUCAGGAUUUUCUCCAAAACAACCCAAUGUCAGAUUUGCUGUGCUGCCUUUCCCAGCAAGACAGAGUCUUUAGGUUCUCCAGUCUGAUGAGUUUUCAACUCCUUCCCCUGACAAACUGCAUCUAAUUUGAAAGAAUAAAUCUGUGAACAGGUACAAGUAGCUUGUAUUAGACGUAUCUGAGAUUCCCUGCAGCUUAACAGACCGGCUGAGCUGCAGUACCAGCCCGCUUGCGUGUUCCUGCCUCCCCUCACCCACGAGGGUUUGCUUCGACCACUUCACAUCACUCGAUUCUACCGACAACGUAGCACACGGUGACCUGAACGCUGUGUCCUUGCCCAAAGUGGCAGGGCUCUGCUGUUGUGUUGCUCAGUGCUGCUCUACGAACUUGAGCCCCUUAUAGGUCCUUCCUGAUUUUCGACGUACCCGGAUUUUCUACCAGCAAGGUCUGUCGCUACCCUCCGCGCGAGUACAGUUCACACAGACCCUAACUCCUCGGCCAGGCGGCUGUCUUGGUUCAGGAACCAGGAGAACAAGGAUGAAUUUGCCACUUGCCUGCUUUCGCCCUGGUCCCAGCACAGCCCUAGCAUAAACCAGAGCAGCUCCAGGGCACGUGAUAUCCCAAACAGCCCCCGUGCUGCAUCCGCGGGUUGUCCGAGGGAGCACUCCUUUCUCCACGGGCUUCUCCCGCUGCCGGCUGUCGGGAGCCCUGCAGUCCCACCCUCUUUGCUGCUCACUUUGAUGACCCUUGUACCUUGCAGCAUGUUCUGGGACACUGCCCUGGUUCCCGGCAUGGUAGAUUCACUCUUUCCCGGUCCUUUUUCCUGCCUGGCAAAUCUGCUCCUGUCUUAUGAAUGCUCCUGCGGGGAGGCACAGAAGCCUUGCACUGCCCUGCUGCACCACAGCAACACGCUAAGAGCACUGGUGAUAACCCUCCUUCCCCAAACCAGCCACCGAGCUGCUGAGGGAAGAAAAGGUAUCCAUGAAGUUUGGAUGAAGGAGUGACUCGUGUUUGCUUUGAUUCGACAUUAUCCAGGAUAGAUAAGCACAGGCACAGGCUAAGGGCUGGCAGACUUUGCGGAGCCUUCGCAACCUGCUCAACCAGGCAACCAUCUGUUCCCCCGUGCAGCAGAUCACAGGUUGAACAACGGACGUAAAAAGUGAAGAUACCAUCUUCUAAUAAGGCUUCUGUUCAAGUAACCAGGCAUCUCUAAAUGAAAGCAGACUACAACUGCAUCACACGCAGCCCAGUGCCAAGGUAAUAUCCAGUGCUCACAAGCCGAGAACAUUGUAAGCCUUCAAAAGCACCUAAUUUCUUUUCCAAUAAAAAGCCCAGCCUCUGCCUAAGGAAAUCCAAGCACACCCCCAGCUCUACCUCAUUUCUCCUUGCGAGCUCAGCCAAAGGUCUACGGAAACUUCCUAUCCAUUAAGAGCACUACAAGUGCCGUAACUCAUAUAAUUUGACCUGGAUUCAGUUAAAAAGCAAAUUACACUGAACAAACAGGAGGGCCUCGGGAAGUCUGGAGAGUAUGUUUUAGUUAUGUAAUAUGUUAAAACCCCCAACAUUUACUGUUGCAUAGAAAAUGAAAAAAAAAUGCCCAAGGCCAAAAAUAUUCUAUUUAAUAGCUACAUGCAGUUCUGGUUUAAAGACUCUGAGUAACUGAACAAAUUCACAAUAAGAAAACUGAAAAUAAGAGCUCUUUGGGACAGACAGUGCAGGGGGCAAUAAAUUAAACUGUCAUCUUCUGCUGGUUCCUUUUGUGGAGGGGGGCUCUUAGGAGAGGUAUGAUACUUGAAACACUGAUUUAUACAUAUCAGGCAUGAUGCUCAAAUGCAGGAUUUGUGGCAAUUCAAAGCCAACAUGAGAUUAUAUCUCAUAUGCAUCUUUCAAUUACAGUUCUCUACCCUCUGUCCUUCUUCUCCUCUUCCCUCAUUCCCCUGACCCUGAAUAACAAUUCCUGAAUUCCCCUGAAUAACAAUUCUGGGACAAUAUCAACAUGCCUUCACAAAUAUAACUGUUGUUUCACAAUCUCAGAACUUGGACAUAAAAGUUUUGAGCACAGAAAACAACCGAGGCCUGAAGGCAAGGAAAAACGUGCAGAGGGAACUUUCAAAGGAAGCAGCUGAAAAACAUCGCUAGAGAUGCUCCCAGGCAGCUUGGGAAGGAAACCACGCUCACGAAUGUGGACGGCAAUGUUGCAAAACAUGCAAACAGCUCGUUUGGAUGAGUAAGCUGUAGCAGUGUCCCAGUUACGCAUGGGAAAGCACGUUAUUUUUCUUUCCAUGGGUGUAUUUUCAUAUUCAGCAUCUGUCACGCGCUGCUCGCUGGAGGGUGCCUUGCCCAGGCGCAGCUCAGAGCCCGGCGAAGGUGUGCAGAGCCAGGUGCUAGCCAGAGCAUGCCAGAGGCUCAUAGCUACACGUUUUUGGGUGGGAAGAAUCAUCCUCCAGCAGUGCCUCUCUCUCCUCCUUGAUGACAGAUGGCUGAUGACUAACUUAAACUAGAACGCUAUCUUACAAAUGACCUUGAUUGAUCCUAUCCGUAGUAAUAGCCCCAAGGCUCACGGAGGGGAAAAAAACCAUCAAAAACAUCAAGCACCAAAGUCACCCACCUCUCUGUUCACUGAGAGAAUUACCAUCUGUGGAACAAGCCUGCAGGAGGCCAGAAGGGACAAUACAACAGAUAAGGUGUCAGCAAACAGCACCCACAUAAUUAAACAAAAAUAACGUUUCUUGAGGAGAAACGGCCCUAUCUUACACGAACAGACAUUUGACCCCUGCUGCCGCACAGACACAGCGUGUAUGAGCCAGGAACCACGUCCUACGGCCAGGGAAUUGGCGCCACAUCCGAAGCAUCUUUCAGCCUGUCCUGUCCCAAGUGGACCGCGAGCCUGUGGCUCCACGUUAACCCUCAUUUAAGCAUAACAGCAAAAUAAAAAGGGAGGCCAGCCAUGCUCUUUAAUGCUCGUUUGGAAAGACAGCAUAAAUCGCAAGUGUCUUGAAAAUAGACCUUUGGAUUCUUACAUAAAUUAAAUUUAGAAUUGUAAUUAAAAUUAUCAAUACAUUUUUCUUGUAUCUCCAUAUUCUACAAAAUGAUAUCAGCUGCUGCAUCAAAUGCAGAAGCCAGAUGAAAGUGCUGUUCUCCUGUAUGGGGAUACGGAUUUAAACUCCGAGUGCGAGUUUAGUCAUGGAUUCCUUAACCAUGUAUUGAAAGAAAAAUGUUAGCCUGUCUGAGCAUAUGUGGAUUAUUUAUAGGAAGGACUAUCAUUCUCAUCCACAAAUCAAACUUUUUGCUAAAUAUAAUAUAGAGAAGAUACAAUCUGUGUAAAUACCCUAGUUUAUUCUGUAUUCUAUUUUCCUUUUCAGUUCCAAACCAUUUUUAGGGGAUAUACACUUAUUUUCAGAAACAUGUCCUCUUGAAAAAUAAAACAUGACAGGCAAAAUGCCAACAAUACAAUUAUAUACUUUCUCCUUCAUGGCAAAGAUGACAAUAAACCAAAGUACACUGAACAUUUUAACUAGUUAACAUUUCCUUACACUGAUAUCGGUGAUGAAUGCAACACGUGCUUAGAAUGACCUCGCUCAAGAAUCCAGUUAUUGCAAUGAAAAGAAAAUUAGAGCAAAAUAUACCCCUCCUAUCCAAAGUCAAACAAUAAAAUAAUUCACAAAAAUGUAACUGAGCAAGAUUAUUCACCUUAAUGUCAUUCCAAUGUUGUUAACCUAUUAUUACAAGUAUACUAAGACGCAAAUUCUCAGAGCUAUCUUUUGUGCAUUCAGUUUUAAAGUUUAAGCUUUCUAAAAUGAGCACAUGGGGACCCCCCCCCAAAUAUUAUUUCCUGAAAGUCUAAAUGAAUUUGGCCCUGCUGCAGACUAUGCUGAUGACUUCCGUGACAUUAAAAUCCAGGAUUAACCUAGCCCACUGCAUGUGAAAUUGCAGCUAAGAACAGGUUUUUAUCUUUCCGUAUUCAGUAACUUAACCCCUUGGAAAGCCAUUUAAUAAGGUUUUAUCAUUGUUUUACAAUUUUUCAUUAUUUCAUUUACUAUUGUUUUACAUUGUUGAAAGUUUCAGUUUGUAACACGUUAAUUACUGAAAUAAGGUAUUUAAUGGAAAUUCAGUAAGGUUCAUCCUUCAUUUAAAUCAGGGAAUUUACAGCAGAAAAUUUGGUUCAAAAUGUUUGCUGCCUGACAUUAAGCAUUUAGAAAACCCUCUGCCAAGGGGUGGUGCAGCAAGGAGGAACCUGAAACGCCUUUUUUAUCUCAGACCUGUCUCUUCAGAUAAAAAACCUUGAACAUUCCCUUAAGCUUUUUCAAUAGUUCUCUAAAGAGAAGGGAAAUAAAUGUUUAUUUAGAUGUUUCCUGCACUCAUCUUUUUCUCUAAACCUAUAAAAUGCAUAGGCUAUACCUAUUCAGAGAGAUUCUUUAAAGUAUCCAAGAAAAAAACAUAUUGCUGGCCUAAAUUAGGAAUUGUACUAGUGAUGAUUUACUAGCGUCUCUUACUAAAUGAUGCAGGUUCAGAAGAAAAGGAAAAAAAACCCACUACAUCAAGCAAACAUUUAAUGUAAUGUAGACAUAUGCAUACCCAGUAUGAAGGCCACCACGUAGUUCGAGAUCUGUCCCAUCCCCACUAUGAGGAACAGCACUGUGAACAUCUCCCAGCUGGUAGAGAAGAUCUGCAGGAAGCUGAAGCCGGUCUGCACAGCCAUAGUGGAGAAAAGGACACUCUUCCUGCCAAACCUUUCGCAAAAGAUAAGGGAGAAUAUUAUUAAGAGAUCAUUCAUGUGUGGAGCUGGGCGACAGAAGAGAGAUGGUGCACAAAUAUCCAGUCCUAAGCUUCACAGCUUAGCACAACUUUGAGUUUGGCGGCACAUCAUUUUCAUAAGUAUUAAAAAAAAGCAAAAUUUCCGGCACCCAGGAAAUAAACCAAGCUAAGAAAUUAAAAGCAGAAACUUCGGGGAACUACUAGACAGGGACCAGGAGACUAGAUAAAUGCAUGUAAGUGAGAGAAACAGCAAGCCUGCAAGCCACACAGCCAAAAGAUAGGAAAUGAUGGGACUGUAUAGAUGCCAGCAUGUAUACAUUAUGAUAAAAGUACAUUUUUUAAAGAGUUAAACAGCUUUUUCAACUGGUUUCACUCUUUCUCCUGUGAGUCACCAUAAAUGUAUCCUCCUCCACUUGUCUGUAUUGGAGUUACCUAGGUGCCUGCAGCAGCAUUGGGGAAAUCGUUCAGUUAUGGGCUUCGAACAGACCCUUUACUGCCAGGACGCUUCCAAAAAAAUUCAGCUCCUAGCUAGUACUAAAGGGUCACAUUAGUGGCCUGGCAGCAGCAGGGUGAGUGAAGCUACCCGACAGCUAAAGCAUGCGUGUGCCAGGCAUUUCCUCAGAUGUUCCCGGUAGGGAAAUGGCACCAGAGAGAUUUAGUGAUUAUCUCGUCUCCCUUUCAGACAGUAACGCUGCCUGACUGCUGCACCGGGGUCAGGAGGCAUCAGAUUAAAUUCAGAUCACAUGCAAUUUAAUACUUGAGGCUUUAAGAUUAAAGCUCACAUCAGGUUUCCAAACCCCAAGCUGAACAUCUCAAGAAGCUGAUUCUUACGUAACUCUUCGGAGGCCCUUGCUCAAAGGGAGCAACCCAGGCUGUAUUUGGGACCCUGCUGCAACUACAUGGCAGAAGGGGCUAAUAGGGAAGCGGAGACUCAGAGGAGGAACGUAUGUGCUGCAUUGGGCACUCGCAAGGCCAGAGCUUAAACACCGCUGAGCUAAUCGCCAAAUGUCUGUAAUAUUUUCUUGAUAUUUUACAUCUGUCAGUAUCACUUUAUUGCUAUCCUUUUACAGGUCAUCUUUUUUCUUAUUACUGGGUAUGCGUAGCUGAUCUCCAUCAAACCAUCUUUUCUAUGCAGCGCUUCCUUCCACUUAAGGGAAAAGGUUUUUUCCUGUCUUGCAGCUCCUAGAAUGAAUUUUUAAUUAACGUGUUAGGAAGAAUAACAUCUUCAUUAGAAAGGAUGGGUAAAGAACCAAACUUUGUUGUGAACGCAACCACAUCAAACUGCAAAGCAGAUGCAUACGUCCAUCGCAGAGACCCGUUCCUUUCGUUCUGAUGUGCGUGAGUGGCCGUACUUCUAAGCGUGUGGUGGAAUUGGGUUGGGAUUUUCAAAGAAAAGCCAGUUACCUAAUUUUGACUGAAAGCAAGAAGAACUGGACAUUUAACUCCCUUAUGCUUCUUAAAAAACCAGCCAGCUCUGACCUUUUUCUGUGCAUACACGUCAGUGAGGGGGUAGCAGAGAGGCUUAACUCUGGUCUCCUUAGAAGCAAGCCCAGAAGCAGCAGCUUUACCUGUCGGAGAGCUGCCCUGAUACGAAGGAGCCGAUGAGCACCCCCACGAAGAACAGGGAGGUGGUGAGCGGCACUUUCCAGUCGUCCUCACAUACCAGGUUCCACUGCAAGAGAAGCGGAAGAGGCUGGGACCAGAAGGCGAAACAGCAUUCAAAGGCAUUCGGACAAAAAUCCACUACUAAGCAACGAAGCCAGUUGCUUAGUAACUGCAUGUGUCUGAAAACACACAGGUUUCACCGUAAUUUGGUCUAGUUUUCCCACUGUUGUGUUUCUGCCCAUCUCCAGCUACUCAGACUGCUGCUGUAUUUCUGUACCUCUGGGCUUUGAUAAAAAAUGUGCAUAGAAUAAAAUCUCUUUCCUCGUAUUAAAGUGUUUUCAAAGUCUUUUUCAUUCUAACAACCUGCGGAGGUAAUUCACUGUUCAUUACUCAUCCUUCUUGUGGGAAGCAGCUUUGCUUGCGAUUUUAGGACACGAGCCAACGUGGAAUCUUCCACCUCCUAAGAGCCUCUAGUAACCCCAGACCAGGUUUCAAAAUAAAGAAGCGUGAUGAGUCGCAGUCCACCCAAGUUACAGCCGAGCGUGCUUUUGCCGUAGCUUGCUGCUGUUCAAAUGAAUAACCUCCCAAUUAAGGCAUGCCUGCCAAAACUGGUCAUGUACAUCGACUUCAGACAUGUCAAUCUCAGAUUAGAUAAUUCUGUCACAAAGGUAAGCUAAUUAGCCCUCAGAUCAAAGUACACCACAAUUUUGAUAAUUAGCUUCGAUAUCAGGGAGCAGGGCCGUCUCCUCUACCAGGACGUGCCCUGUGCUGUGGGGAAGCGAUGCACCGAGCCAUCUCCACGAGCAGAAGCAGCGGACAAACACACGGGCGUUCGACCUGAAAUCUGCACCGUGGUUGUUCAAGCUUUUGUCUGCUCUCCAGCUGAGUUGCAGACAACAAAACAGAGCAACUCUUGCAUUAACAAAGAUCCAGAUACCAUCUGACAGCACUUGGGUCCUGCCAAAGUUAUACCAAGCAACCAAGGGGUCAGUGCUAGGGAUCCUCCUGCCACCGGUGCUGCUUGGGAACAAACCCAGCAAAAAUAAACCUCAGCUCAAACAAAGAUUUGAUGCAGUUUGCUCUGGACCAUAAUUUAUGAAGGAGAAUCAAAGCAAAGCCUGUUUCCGGAAUUCAGGAAAACAGAAUCAAGCUACACUAUCAGUGGUGUAGACGCUACAUCUAGCCCAUCCUGUCAGCUUGCAAAGUAAUAUAGUCUAAAUAAUAAAAGUCAUCAAGUUUCAGAAUGCAGCCAGGGCUGUUUCUGAGAGAUACACGAAGAACCCACAGUCUGUAAAAAGGGAAGACCCAGAUUUGAUGGUUGGAACAUACCUUAAAUGCUUAAAUCUCAUUAAUAACAGAAAGAAAUAUUUGUUGAUCAUUUCUGUAAAAUAUUUUCUAGUCACUGCUGGGGGAAAAAAAGAAAAGGUCGAUGGAUGUGGACGAGGCCUGGGUGCUUAUCUGUGUUUACCUUAGUUGUAUUCGAUAAGACAGAAGCGAGUGUUUGUGUAAGGAAGGCUCUGAAACUUUCAAGGAUGUUAGUCUUGAAAAAAAAAAAAAUCAUUUGUAGACCAGUUCCGUUUUCAAGGAAAAGUAACUGUUUCACAUGUAAAAGAAAACUGAGAUUUCUGUAAAGAAACUUGCUGGAGAUCAAGCCCGGUAUUAAAAUAAAGCAAAAUUCUACAGCAC